AACGAACGCUGGCGGCAUGCCUAACACAUGCAAGUCGAACGAGACCUUUGGGUCUAGUGGCGCACGGGUGCGUAACGCGUGGGAAUCUGCCCUUGGGUUCGGAAUAACAGUGAGAAAUUGCUGCUAAUACCGGAUGAUUUCUUCGGACCAAAGAUUUAUCGCCCAGGGAUGAGCCCGCGUAGGUUUAGCUUGUUGGUAGUGUAAUGGCCUACCAAGGCGACGAUCCUUAGCUGGUCUGAGAGGAAGAUCAGCCACACUGGGACUGGGACACGGCCCAGACUCCUACGGGAGGCAGCAGAGGGGAAUAUUGGACAAUGGGCGCAAGCCUGAACCAGCAAGGCCGCGUGAGUGAUGAAGGCCUUAGGGUUGUAAAGCUCUUUUACCAGGGAUGAUAAUGACAGUACCUGGAGAAUAAGCUCCGGCUAACUCCGUG
rnacentral:rRNA from 1 species